rnacentral:rRNA from 1 species
AGCGAACGCUGGCGGCAGGCUUAACACAUGCAAGUCGAGCGCCCGUAGCAAUACGGGAGCGGCAGACGGGAGAGUAACACGUGGGAACAUGCCCUUCGGUUCGGAAUAACUCAGGGAAACUUGAGCUAAUACCGGAUACGUCCGUAAGGAGAAAGAUUCAUCGCCGAAGGAUUGGCCCGCGUCCGAUUAGCUUGUUGGUGAGGUAACGGCUCACCAAGGCGACGAUCGGUAGCUGGUCUGAGAGGAUGAUCAGCCUCACUGGGACUGAGACACGGCCCAGACUCCUACGGGAGGCAGCAGUGGGGAAUCUUGCGCAAUGCGCGAAAGCGUGACGCAGCAACGCCGCGU